rnacentral:rRNA from 1 species
GCAAGUCGAACGCGUUGGCCCAACUGAUUGAACGUGCUUGCACGGACUUGACGUUGGUUUACCAGCGAGUGGCGGACGGGUGAGUAACACGUAGGUAACCUGCCCCAAAGCGGGGGAUAACAUUUGGAAACAGAUGCUAAUACCGCAUAACAAUUUGAAUCGCAUGAUUCAAAUUUAAAAGAUGGCUUCGGCUAUCACUUUGGGAUGGACCUGCGGCGCAUUAGCUUGUUGGUAGGGUAACGGCCUACCAAGGCUGUGAUGCGUAGCCGAGUUGAGAGACUGAUCGGCCACAAUGGAACUGAGACACGGUCCAUACUCCUACGGGAGGCAGCAGUAGGGAAUCUUCCACAAUGGGCGCAAGCCUGAUGGAGCAACACCGCGUGAGUGAAGAAGGGUUUCGGCUCGUAAAGCUCUGUUGUUAGAGAAGAACGUGCGUGAGAGCAACUGUUCACGCAGUGACGGUAUCUAACCAGAAAGUCACGGCUAACUACGUGCCAGCAGCCGCGGUAAUACGUAGGUGGCAAGCGUUAUCCGGAUUUAUUGGGCGUAAAGCGAGCGCAGGCGGUUUGAUAAGUCUGAUGUGAAAGCCUUUGGCUUAACCAAAGAAGUGCAUCGGAAACUGUCAGACUUGAGUGCAGAAGAGGACAGUGGAACUCCAUGUGUAGCGGUGGAAUGCGUAGAUAUAUGGAAGAACACCAGUGGCGAAGGCGGCUGUCUGGUCUGCAACUGACGCUGAGGCUCGAAAGCUUGGGUAGCGAACAGGAUUAGAUACCCCUGGUAGUCCAUGCCGUAAACGAUGAGUGCUAGGUGUUGGAGGGUU